CCUACGGGUGGCUGCAGUGGGGAAUAUUGGACAAUGGGGGCAACCCUGAUCCAGCCAUGCCGCGUGUGUGAAGAAGGCCCUCGGGUUGUAAAGCACUUUCAGUGAGGAAGAACGCCUGGUGGUUAAUACCCAUCAGGAAAGACAUCACUCACAGAAGAAGCACCGGCUAACUCCGUGCCAGCAGCCGCGGUAAUACGGAGGGUGCGAGCGUUAAUCGGAAUUACUGGGCGUAAAGCGCGCGUAGGUGGCUUGAUAAGCCGGUUGUGAAAGCCCCGGGCUCAACCUGGGAACGGCAUCCGGAACUGUCAAGCUAGAGUGCAGGAGAGGAAGGUAGAAUUCCCGGUGUAGCGGUGAAAUGCGUAGAGAUCGGGAGGAAUACCAGUGGCGAAGGCGGCAUUCUGGACUGACACUGACACUGAGGUGCGAAAGCGUGGGUAGCGAACCGGAUUAGAUACCCGAGUAGUC
rnacentral:rRNA from 1 species